rnacentral:rRNA from 1 species
CGAAACCAGGUGAUCUACCCAUGUCCAGGAUGAAGGUAAGGUAAUACUUACUGGAGGUCCGAACCCACGCACGUUGAAAAGUGCGGGGAUGAGGUGUGGGUAGCGGAGAAAUUCCAAUCGAACUUGGAGAUAGCUGGUUCUCUCCGAAAUAGCUUUAGGGCUAGCCUCGAGGUAAAGAGUCAUGGAGGUAGAGCACUGUUUGGACUAGGGGCCCUUCUCGGGUUACCGAAUUCAGAUAAACUCCGAAUGCCAUGUACUUAUACUCGGGAGUCAGACUGCGAGUGAUAAGAUCCGUAGUCGAAAGGGAAACAGCCCAGACCACCAGUUAAGGUCCCCAAAUAUAUGUUAAGUGGAAAAGGAUGUGGGGUUGCUUAGACAACCAGGAUGUUGGCUUAGAAGCAGCCACCAUUGAAAGAGUGCGUAAUAGCUCACUGGUCGAGUGACCCCGCGCCGAAAAUGUACCGGGGCUAAACAUAUUACCGAAACUGUGGAUGAACCUCUUCGGAGGUUCGUGGUAGGAGAGCGUUCUAAGGGCGGUGAAGUCAGACCGGAAGGACUGGUGGAGCGCUUAGAAGUGAGAAUGCCGGUAUGAGUAGCGAAAGAAGGGUGAGAAUCCCUUCCACCGAAUAUCUAAGGUUUCCUGAGGAAGGCUCGUCCGCUCAGGGUUAGUCGGGACCUAAGCCGAGGCCGAUAGGCGUAGGCGAUGGACAACAGGUAGAGAUUCCUGUACCAGUGCUAAUUGUUUAACCGAUGGGGUGACACAGAAGGAUAGGGAAUCGCACGAAUGGAAAUGUGCGUCCAAGCAGUGAGUGUGAGAAGUAGGCAAAUCCGCUUCUCGCGAAGCAUGAGCUGUGAUGGGGAAGGAAAUUAAGUACGGAAGUUCCUGAUUUCACGCUGUCAAGAAAAGCCUCUAGGAAGAGUAGUACUGCCCGUACCGCAAACCGACACAGGUAGAUGAGGAGAGAAUCCUAAGGUGAGCGAGAGAACUCUCGUUAAGGAACUCGGCAAAAUGACCCCGUAACUUCGGGAGAAGGGGUGCUCUAUUAGGGUGCAAGCCCGAGAGAGCCGCAGUGAAUAGGCCCAGGCGACUGUUUAGCAAAAACACAGGUCUCUGCAAAACCGUAAGGUGACGUAUAGGGGCUGACGCCUGCCCGGUGCUGGAAGGUUAAGAGGAGUGCUUAGCUUCGGCGAAGGUACGAAUUGAAGCCCCAGUAAACGGCGGCCGUAACUAUAACGGUCCUAAGGUAGCGAAAUUCCUUGUCGGGUAAGUUCCGACCCGCACGAAAGGCGCAACGAUCUGGGCACUGUCUCAACGAGAGACUCGGUGAAAUUAUAGUACCUGUGAAGAUGCAGGUUACCCGCGACAGGACGGAAAGACCCCGUGGAGCUUUACUGCAACCUGAUAUGGAAUGUUUGUACCGCUUGUACAGGAUAGGUAGGAGCCGAAGAGACGUGUGCGCUAGCAUACGAGGAGGCAAUGGUGGGAUACUACCCUGGCUGUAUGACCAUUCUAACCCGCCACGCUUAGCGCGUGGGGAGACAGUGUCAGGUGGGCAGUUUGACUGGGGCGGUCGCCUCCUAAAGAGUAACGGAGGCGCCCAAAGGUUCCCUCAGAAUGGAUGGAAAUCAUUCGCAGAGUGUAAAGGCACAAGGGAGCUUGACUGCGAGACUGACAAGUCGAGCAGGGACGAAAGUCGGGCUUAGUGAUCCGGUGGUUCCGCAUGGAAGGGCCAUCGCUCAACGGAUAAAAGCUACCCCGGGGAUAACAGGCUUAUCUCCCCCAAGAGUCCACAUCGACGGGGAGGUUUGGCACCUCGAUGUCGGCUCGUCGCAUCCUGGGGCUGUAGUCGGUCCCAAGGGUUGGGCUGUUCGCCCAUUAAAGCGGCACGCGAGCUGGGUUCAGAACGUCGUGAGACAGUUCGGUCCCUAUCCGUCGCGGGCGCAGGAAAUUUGAGAGGAGCUGUCCUUAGUACGAGAGGACCGGGAUGGACACACCGCUGGUGUACCAGUUGUUCCGCCAGGAGCAUCGCUGGGUAGCUAUGUGUGGCAGGGAUAAACGCUGAAAGCAUCUAAGCGUGAAGCCCCCCUCAAGAUGAGAUUUCCCAUUUCUUCGGAAAGUAAGAUCCCUGAAAGAUGAUCAGGUAGAUAGGUUUGGAGUGGAAGUGUAGCGAUACAUGGAGCGGACAAAUACUAAUCG